rnacentral:rRNA from 2 species
UGGGGAAUCUUGCACAAUGGGCGAAAGCCUGAUGCAGCGACGCCGCGUGCGGGAUGAAGGCCUUCGGGUUGUAAACCGCUUUCAGCAGGGACGAGGCCGCGAGGUGACGGUACCUGCAGAAGAAGCCCCGGCUAACUACGUGCCAGCAGCCGCGGUAAUACGUAGGGGGCGAGCGUUAUCCGGAUUCAUUGGGCGUAAAGCGCGCGUAGGCGGCCCGUUUGGUCGGGAGUUAAAUCCGGGGGCUCACCCCCGCCCGCUCCCGAUACCGGCGGGCUUGAGUCUGGUAGGGGAAGGCGGAAUUCCAAGUGUAGCGGUGGAAUGCGCAGAUAUUUGGAAGAACACCGGUGGCGAAGGCGGCCUUCUGGGCCACGACUGACGCUGAGGUGCGAAAGCGUGGGGAGCAAACAGG